GCAGGGAAUCUUGCGCAAUGGGCGAAAGCCUGACGCAGCGACACCGCGUGGGGGAAGAAGGCCCUUGGGUUGUAAACCCCUUUUCUCGGGGAAGAGAGAGGACGGUACCCGAGGAAUAAGGUUCGGCUAACUACGUGCCAGCAGCCGCGGUAAUACGUAGGAACCGAGCGUUGUCCGGAAUUACUGGGCGUAAAGAGCGCGUAGGCGGCCCGUCAAGUCUCAUGUGAAAUCUCCCGGCUCAACUGGGAGGGGUCAUGGGAAACUGGCAGGCUAGAGGGCAGUAGAGGAAAGUGGAAUUCCCGGAGUAGUGGUGAAAUGCGUAGAUACCGGGAGGAACACCAGUGGCGAAGGCGGCUUUCUGGGCUGCAACUGACGCUGAGGCGCGAGAGCGUGGGGAGCAAACCGG
rnacentral:rRNA from 1 species